UACGUAGGUGGCAAGCGUUGUCCGGAUUUAUUGGGCGUAAAGGGAGCGCAGGUGGUUUCUUAAGUCUGAUGUGAAAGCCCACGGCUUAACCGUGGAGGGUCAUUGGAAACUGGGAAACUUGAGUACAGAAGAGGAAUGUGGAACUCCAUGUGUAGCGGUGGAAUGCGUAGAUAUAUGGAAGAACACCAGUGGCGAAGGCGACAUUCUGGUCUGUUACUGACACUGAGGCUCGAAAGCGUGGGGAGCAAACAGGAUUAGAUACCCCUGUA
rnacentral:rRNA from 1 species